rnacentral:rRNA from 1 species
AUGUAUAGAUUUCACGAAACUGCGUGAGCUAAUUAUUAUUAUUUAUUAUGUGGCAUAAUAAUAAUGCAAAUGAUAAUUAGGGGUGAUAGGCCUCUCAAACGUAUGAUAUCUUGAUUCUUACGAUAUGUAGUAGUACAAAGACAAUUUAAGAGUAUAAGGCUUUUAAAAGUAAUAAAUUUUUAUUAAGUUAAUAAGUUGGUUUAGUAUCCUGCAUUUAGGAUAAAAUAAUAUAAAUUACAUGUAAUUUAUUUUGAUUAGUAAGAUUCAAUAAAUUUUUAAAUAUGAUAAUAAUGUUUCCAUAAGUAUUAAGAAGCUAUUAAUAGUGAAUUCGGCAAUUUGCUUUCAACUGUUUACCAAAAACAUAGCCAUGUGUAUAUACACAUGGUGCUUUCUGCUCAAUGAUCAUUAAAUAGCCGCAGUACCCUGACUGUGCAAAGGUAGCGUAAUCAUUUGUCUUUUAAUUGGAGUCGUGUAUGAAAGAAAUAAUGGGGGCAAUCUUUACCAUAAAUAAAUUUAAAAAUUACUUAGUGGGUGCAAAUACCCACGAAUAAAAAAUAGACGAGAAGACCCUAGAAAUUUAUAAAAAUAUUUUGUUGGGGCAACAUAGUAGCAUAUAAUCUACCUUAUGUAUAUGACAAGUUAUAGAUAAAUAAAAUUACUCUAGGGAUAACAGCAUAAUUUAUAAAUGUUUGUGACCUCGAUGUUGGAUUAGGGAGUUGUUGUCUAGA